ensembl:lncRNA
GGAAGACACAGUCCGUGGUGUGGGACUGAGCAAGCUGCUGAAUCGUUACCUUCUUCUGAACCUCUUCAACACACCACCAGGGCCAGAAAACAUAGAGAAGUGUAAAGAGAAUGCUCUCUGGGUGAACAGGUGGUUGCAUGCUUCCCAGAAAGGUGGUUCCAAAAUCAUGGAAGUGGGUCAACUCUCCCCGAGUCAGUGAACUUCUGCCAGCAUUUGGUUCAGUGAGCACGUAUGCUUCACAGGAGUAACCACAGUGAUGAAACUGAAGAAGUUGUUCUCCUGUUGCUGAAAGUCAAGGCUCUGCGUAUUGCUGAAGAGCUCAUUGAAGAGUGCAAACGGGAACAUCUUAAAUCUG